rnacentral:rRNA from 1 species
CCUACGGGCGGCAGCAGUGGGGAAUAUUGGGCAAUGGAGGAAACUCUGACCCAGCAACGCCGCGUGAAUGAUGAAGGUCUUCGGAUUGUAAAGUUCUUUUCUAAGGGAAGAAGAAAGUGACGGUACCUUAAGAAUAAGCCUCGGCUAACUACGUGCCAGCAGCCGCGGUAAUACGUAGGAGGCAAGCGUUAUUCGGAGUGACUGGGCGUAAAGGGUGCGUAGGCGGUUCAGCAAGUUAGUAGGGAAAUUCCGGGGCUCAACCUCGGCACUACUACUAAAACUGUUGGACUUGAGUGCAGGAGGGGCAAGUGGAAUUUCUAGUGUAGCGGUGGAAUGCGUAGAUAUUAGGAAGAACACCAGUGGCGAAGGCGAGUUGCUGGACUGUAACUGACACUGAGGCACGAAAGCGUGGGGAGCAAACAGGAUUAGAUACCCUAGUAGUC